rnacentral:lncRNA from 1 species
GCUCUUCUAUUGUGGAUGUCUGUUCUACUGGGGGCUCCCCUCCUAUUGGUCUCUUUGCCUCUACACCACAACAAGGUCAAGCAAGAUGAGGUCCACUUUGAGGAAGAUCUCCUCACUACAAUAAAAAGGUUUAUAGUAUUGGUCAAAAACUAUGGCAAAAAAUAUAGAAGACCAUCGAUAAAAAAUCUAUAUCAAUGAUUGAUAAAUUACAGUAAUAGAUAGCAUCACUAAAAACUAUUGUCAUAACUUUGAUGAGCAUUGGUACAAAUAAAUCUAUAGUAAUGGUCUUGAGUCAUCUUAUAGCCAUGAUAAUAUUAAGUUCUCAUAUAAAGUUAUGAAUUAUUAUAAUUCAAAACUUAUAUUGUAAAGUAUUCUUAUUUCAAAUAUAUUAUGAUAUUUUAAUUUUAGUAAUUAGUUAUUUCAUAAAAAAAUUCAAUCAUCUUCUUUUUGAAAGAAAAUAAAAUACAAAUUACUUCAUUUUAUUCUUUAUAUAUAUUUUGAAAAUUUGUUUAUUUAAAAUAUUUUAAAAUAUAAAUAAUUUUGAUAUAUUUCUAUAAUGACAAAUUUUUUUUAAAGUUCUUUAAAAGUAGAUAAUUCUUAAUUUUUUUUAUUUAUACUAUAAUUAAAUAUAAUGAUAUUUGAUAUGAAAAUAUUAAUAUUUUAAAAAUAUUUUUAUUGAAAAUAUUUUGAAAUAUAAAUAAUUUUGAUAUAUUUCUAUAAUGGUAUUUUUUUCAAAAAUUCUCUAAAAGUAGAUAAUUCUUGAUUCUUCCUAUUUAUACUGUAAUUAAAUAGUAAUGAUAUUUGAUAUAAAAUAUUUUCAAAACUUUAUGUUAUGCAUUUUAGAUAAGUAGUAUUUAAAUUUUUCAUAUAUUUUUAAUACAAAUUACAUUGGAUUGGUGAUCCAGAUUCUUAGUGAAAUCUAUUUUCAUAUAAAUUUUUAAUAAUUACAUCAUAAAUUAUUACUUAGUUAUGUACAUUUCAUUCAAUAUUGAUGAUAGAUUUUAUAUCAAGAACUAUUUUUAUUUAAUUAUUAAACUAUCUUGACUCAUAUAGUUAAAAUCGUAUUAAUUUUAAAAUUUUGUAAGUAUAUGCAAUAUCUUUUUAAAAAAUUUAGACACUUAUUUAAUGAUAAAUAUCAUCAUAAAAUAUCCAAAAUAGUUUGCAACAAUACUAAUUUAUCAUAAAACUAAAUCAUAAAUAAUGAAUAAUAAAAACUAUCAUAGUUAGACAAUGAUGUAUAAAUGGUAAAAUUUAUUUCAUUGAUAAAUAGUCAAUAUUGUAUAAUAAAAUUAUAAAUAUUGCUAAUUAAAUUUUAUUUGAUUAGAAAAUAUUGUUCUUGCAAAAUACCAUCAUAAGAUUAAAAAUUUUAGUAAUAUCUAUAAAUAACUAUCACAAUAUUAUAGAUUUUCUAUGAUAAUUUUUAAAAUCAUUACUAUAGAAUAUAAUUUCUUAUAGCAGUUAUAAGAUACCAUCGCUAUACAAUAAUCUUCAGUAAUACUCUUGAUGAAUCACUAUAAUAUUAUAUAUCUUUUAUGAUAUAUUUUAAAAUUAAUAUUAAAAAAUAUUUAUAUUGUUAUUUUUAUUUUAAGUAUUACUAAAAUUUCAUCACUGUAAAUUUUUUUCAUUAUAGUGUAUGAACUUGCUCGAGCUAAAGUUGAAGCUUGAUAUGAAGGCAUCAGCUCCUGCUUAUGCCAUGUCAUUCUCCAAUGCAGUAGGGAUGGCUUAUUUGACUAUGUCCUCAACCUCAGCCUCAGGAACAUUCAUUAUCAAAAAGCUGUUUAGGCUUGUCCUUUAGUUGAGUGACAUCUC